AGCUGGCACAGCGAGUCCUUUUGGGUCUGAGGUAGCGUGCCAGGUCCGUCUCACCUGAUUAACACUCUGUGUGCCUCCUCUGCUGCAGGCGUGGAAAGCUCAUCUGAUGGGCCCAGCCGGCUGCACCAUGAACCUGCGCAAGACACACAUUCUGCAGAAGGCCCCGGCACUGCAGCCAGGGAAAAGCUCAGCUGUGGCCGCAUCGGGCCCCUCGGGGUCAAAGGCCGGAAGCAAGAUCCCCACCCCGAAGGGCGGACUGAGCAAGAGCUCCAGCAGGACGCACGCCAAGCGCUGAUGCAGCGCUCGGGCUCUUUUGUCUCUGUAAGGGACGGAGCAGGUCUCCUGAUUCUCCACCAUUUCUCCAGAACUCUCUGGCCUUGGUGACCCCAUGCUCUGGCUGCUGUCCCCAGCUCCCAGCCGUGCACGCCUCUUACAUGUCUGUGCCGUCAGCUCUCGUG
rnacentral:sRNA from 1 species